AUACUACUCCCUCCGUCCCAAAAUAAGUGACUCAACUUUGUACUAACUAUGUACUAAAGCUAGUACAAAGUUGAGUCACUUAUUUUGGGACGGAGGGAGUACAAU
rnacentral:pre_miRNA from 1 species